rnacentral:lncRNA from 1 species
AGAUCGAGAAGGUCCAGGUGGCUGGCACUGCCGCCAGCGCCCAAUGGGAGGAGACCGGCAGCUCCCUGGGUGGCCUGCCCCUUGUCUGCGUGGCCUUUUGCAAAAUAAACGCUCUCUCCUCUGGUGGCUCCAUCUUUUGCUUCUUCCCCUCGGGAGACCCGUCCCCCAGCUGAGGCCUCGGGUGGGCGGUCCUUGGGGGGUCCGGCUACGGCCCAGGUGUGCAGGGGGUCUUCCCCGGAACCCGAGGGGCUGGCACAUCCUGUAUCCUCUCCGUGACGCGUGGAUCUGUGUGUCCAGGAGAGAGAGAGCGCGAGAGGGAAUCGUUUUCAGCUCAGAGGAAGUCUGCCUCGUAAGGGCAAAAACGCGCUUCUUAGCCCCCUGCCUAUCAGCUGCCCCGCUGUCCGCUGUAGGGGGAUUGAGGGCGUCAUUUGUUUGUAUAGAAUUUUUUUUAAUUUAAAAAAAGAGGCUCUAACGGUUGCCAGGCCAGAGAGAACCGUGUAAGGGAAGCGGAGAGCAACUUCCUUGAUGGGGAGGGGGCAGGUGACCUGGAGGGGCGGGCGGGGCGGGAGGUGCCAGGGGAGUCGGCGGAAUGUCUGGGUUUCCUCUGCAUGCAGCAGCCCCUGCCCCAGGGCGCUGUUACUGUGUUCAUAUGUAGUUUGAAAAUGCUAUUUAUAUUGUAAAGAGAAUAAAAAGAAGCGGGCAGACGCCCCUGCGGCCCUGGGUUGGGCGGUGGGCCGGCCCCCGUGGCCGGUCCCUCUGGGUUGCACCCCGUCCGUGGGUCGUGGGUUCCCAGACAACUCGUGCAGACCGGUGGUCUCACAGCAAAGGGGAACGCACACCUCCCCCACGAAGAUACAUCCGUGUCUGUGUGCGAAAGCAAAAAACAAACCGACCCACCCUGUUUUCUUUCCCACCUGAGAUUAGGGAUGCGCGCUGUAUUUUUGCCUAAUUCCCCUGCCUCUAGGUUCAUAAUGAAUUAAAGGCUCGCGAGCACUGCGAAUUACAGCUCC